UGGUGAAAGGUGUUCAAUGACCCUU
rnacentral:piRNA from 1 species